CUAUAAAAUACUUUUUGUUAAAUAAGUAUAUUAAUCCUACAGGUACAGUGCGAUGUCAAAAAAUUUUAAACACUAUUGCAGGAAAAUAAAGAACUAUAUUCGCUAUGCGUAGUUUAUUUCUGAGGUCUGUCAUACGAUAUUCGGGUAAAGUGAAAGUAGGAGUUGAAUGCCUUGUUUCACUAAAAAGAACAUUGCUCAGAUAUUUCUCUGGACUACCAAUUUCUGUACUUCAUGUGAUGCUUGUGUUGCAGCCCUCCCAAGAACUUCCCUUGUAGGUGUUCUAUAAUAAGAUUUCAAAGAUAAAGAGGAAAUGGUUCUAAUGAUAGAGAUUGUCCAUGUUGGUUUGUCUCAAUCUUUUGGAAAACAGUGUUGGAGAAAAUAUCAGCAACAAAUGAAGACUCUGAUCUAAUUUAUUACUAUGUGACUUGAAAGUUAUUUGAUUUUAUGGUAGUAUUUACACAUGUGUUGAACUUUCCGAAUAUUGUUGAAAAAGAUCAUAUGAUGACAAUAAACAAAAAUACAUAUAAGAACUUUCCACAAGUUUCCAAUGAAGAACAUUUAGGGAUCUUGGUAAAGGAUAUUAUAAUUAGAUUUUUUACCUAAUUUAUAUGUGUUCUUGUGCAGUGCAUUAAAUGCACAAAAUGUUUUUAAAUCAGUCUUUUGAAACCAGUGCUGAGAACACAGGUCUGAGAUAUCCUCAUACUGCAGUUAUAUUGUUAAGAUUGAAGUUUAUUUUUAAAAUUAUACCUUAAUUAUAUCUGUAAAAAAACUUUUUAAAAAAUGAGUCAAAUUUGCAUA